GGGGGAUAUUGCACAAUGGGGGAAACCCUGAUGCAGCGACGCCGCGUGGAGGAAGAAGGUUUUCGGAUUGUAAACUCCUGUCGUUAGGGACGAUAAUGACGGUACCUAACAAGAAAGCACCGGCUAACUACGUGCCAGCAGCCGCGGUAAAACGUAGGGUGCAAGCGUUGUCCGGAAUUACUGGGUGUAAAGGGAGCGCAGGCGGAUCGGCAAGUUGGAAGUGAAAACUAUGGGCUCAACCCAUAAAUUGCUUUCAAAACUGCUGGCCUUGAGUAGUGCAGAGGUAGGUGGAAUUCCCGGUGUAGCGGUGGAAUGCGUAGAUAUCGGGAGGAACACCAGUGGCGAAGGCGGCCUGCUGGGCUUUAACUGACGCUGAGGCACGAAAGCGUGGGUAGCAAACAGGAUUAGAUACCCUGGUAGUCCACGCUGUAAACGAUGAUUACUAGGUGUGGGGGGUCUGACCCCUUCCGUGCCGGAGUUAACACAAUAAGUAAUCCACCUGGGGAGUACGGCCGCAAGGUUGAAACUCAAAGGAAUUGACGGGGGCCCGCACAAGCAGUGGAGUAUGUGGUUUAAUUCGAAGCAACGCGAAGAACCUUACCAGGUCUUGACAUCCAACUAACGAAGUAGAGAUACAUUAGGUGCCCUUCGGGGAAAGUUGAGACAGGUGGUGCAUGGUUGUCGUCAGCUCGUGUCGUGAGAUGUUGGGUUAAGUCCCGCAACGAGCGCAACCCUUGCUAUUAGUUGCUACGCAAGAGCACUCUAAUAGGACUGCCGUUGACAAAACGGAGGAAGGUGGGGACGACGUCAAAUCAUCAUGCCCCUUAUGACCUGGGCUACACACGUACUACAAUGGAUGUUAACAGAGGGAAGCAAGACAGCGAUGUGGAGCAAACCCCUAAAAACAUUCUCAGUUCAGAUUGCAGGCUGCAACCCGCCUGCAUGAAGAUGGAAUUGCUAGUAAUCGCGGAUCAGCAUGCCGCGGUGAAUACGUUCCCG
rnacentral:rRNA from 1 species